AUGAAGAGAAUCAGUUGUUACUGUUGCGUUGAAAACAUAAUAUUAUUGUUAAUUUUCACCACAAAACAGAGAAGUAAAACCAUUGACAGAUUUAUGUUGUUGUUGUUGUUAGCUUGUUUUAAUGAAGAAGAAGAAAAGUGGAGAUGGAAGAGAGUGAUAUUCGGAAAACAUAGAAAGUUUAGCGUGAAAACAAAACAAUUGAGUGGCUGGUUUUGUAAGGCUUCUAGGGUUUCUUGGAACUCUCAUUAUGGAUCGAUUUGGGCCUUAUGGAAAAUCCGCCCCAAAUUCCACUAA